rnacentral:rRNA from 1 species
CCUGGGAGCGACUAUGCUAGAAUGAGUAAUAAGAGGGAACAACCCUCUCCCAGCACAUGUGUAAGUCGGACCGGACCCCCCGCCGACAAAUAACGAACCCAACAAAAGAGGGAAAUACAAACCAAAAAAACUACUAGAAAAACAAGUAUAACACAAUCGUUAACCCUACACAGGAGUGCCCCCAGGGAAAGACCUAAAGGAGAAGAAGGAACUCGGCAAACCCAAGCCUCGCCUGUUUACCAAAAACAUCGCCUCUUGCAAAAUUAAAGCAUAAGAGGUCCCGCCUGCCCUGUGACCCUGGGUUUAACGGCCGCGGUAUUUUGACCGUGCGAAGGUAGCGCAAUCACUUGUCUUUUAAAUGGAGACCUGUAUGAAUGGCACGACGAGGGCUUAACUGUCUCCCUCUCCUGGUCAAUGAAAUUGAUCUCCCCGUGCAGAAGCGGGGAUAUUUUCAUAAGACGAGAAGACCCUAUGGAGCUUUAGACAAAAGGCAGACCACGUUUAACCUCCCCCAUCACGGGGCCAAACACAAUGUUCCCUAGCCCGAAUGUCUUUGGUUGGGGCGACCGCGGGGGAAAACAAAGCCCCCAUGUGGACUGGGGAAACCCUUCCCUAGGGCCAUGAGCUACAGCUCUUAGCAACAGAAUUUCUGACCAAAAAUGAUCCGGUGAACACCGAUCAACGGACCAAGUUACCCUAGGGAUAACAGCGCAAUCCCCUCCCAGAGUCCCUAUCGACAAGGGGGUUUACGACCUCGAUGUUGGAUCAGGACAUCCUAAUGGUGCAGCCGCUGUUAAGGGUUCGUUUGUUCAACGAUUAAAGUCCUACGUGAUCUGAGUUCAGACCGGAGUAAUCCAGGUCAGUUUCUAUCUAUGACGUAACUUUCCCUAGUACGAAAGGACCGGGAAGGGGGGGCCCAUACUUAAAGCAUGCCUCACCCCCACCUGAUGAAAACAACUAAAACAGAAAAGGGGGCACGCCCAAAAAAGCCCAAGAGAAUGGC